UUCCCCACAGUCUCUAUUUCAUGCUGUUAUAGGUUACAAGCCUAAAAAUGGUGUGUUUACCCUUAUAGAACUCUGAAAUUAAUGUCUCAACACGAGAAACCAUGACCAGAAGGCAUGUUAAUAUAGAAAUAAGAGCUUAUGAACCUUUUAUUCAGAGAAAUAACAUUCUAUAAAUUAGCCUACAGAAUAUUAAACUCAUCUUCCUGCAUGAAUAACAUAUUUGGUAUUCAACUACUCUUUCAAUUUUUACAUAGCUAUGACAUUAUCUUGGUGUGUUAUUGGAAAAGCAUGUCGAUGACUUUGUUGAUUCUGGGAACAACUAAUAUUUUUGUCAUGGAACAACUAAUAUACGCUUUACAUUCAGAUUUUUUUAGUCAUCGUCUUAUGAUAUGUAUGACAAAGGAAAACUGAUAAUUUAUAGUUUAAUCAAUAAGCAAGAUUUCUUAGUGGCAAAUAUUUUAUGCAGAAAAUUUUCUCUAUCACGGUGGGAAGUAAACAAUCGCAUGGACCUCAAAUAUUUACUAAUCGCUCUCUUCUUUGGAAUGAAUGAAUACCAGUAUCAUUCUCACAUCUAAGGAUAUGAGGCGAUAGUCAAAUGAAAGCAGCUGAGGCUCGGAAAGGAGUUGCAACACUAGGCACAGCACCACAACUGAUCAAAUCUCUACGCCAUAUCAAAACUACGAUCCACUUAUGCCGUUGGAAAGAGAAUUCUGGAAAUACAAUAUAUACAAAACUUAGGUCCAAAUCCUUUGUAGAUUUAUCUCCUUUCUUCCGGUAAUAUCAAUCUUUCUUCAUAUGGAAUGUUUUGUAGUUGUUAUGUAUUCACUGUGAUUGAACUAUAUUUUAUACUUUAGCUGUAUCACAAUGGUUCACAUAUCAGGGUCUUUUAAUUACUUUCAUCAACACUUUUGGCCAUCGUUG